GCAGCCGCCGCGGUAAUACAGAGGGUGCGAGCGUUAAUCGGAUUUACUGGGCGUAAAGCGUGCGUAGGCGGCUUCUUAAGUCGGAUGUGAAAUCCCUGAGCUUAACUUAGGAAUUGCAUUCGAUACUGGGAAGCUAAAGUAUGGGAGAGGAUGGUAGAAUUCCAGGUGUAGCGGUGAAAUGCGUAGAGAUCUGGAGGAAUACCGAUGGCGAAGGCAGCCAUCUGGCCUAAUACUGACGCUGAGGUACGAAAGCAUGGGGAGCAAACAGGAUUAGAUACCCCCGUAGUCCCUGUCUCUUAUAA
rnacentral:rRNA from 1 species